rnacentral:rRNA from 1 species
GACGAACGCUGGCGGCGUGCUUAACACAUGCAAGUCGAACGGUAAGGCCCUUCGGGGUACACGAGUGGCGAACGGGUGAGUAACACGUGGGUAAUCUGCCCUGCACUUCGGGAUAAGCCUGGGAAACUGGGUCUAAUACCGGAUAUUCAGCUUCUGCCGCAUGGUUGGUGGUUGGAAAGUUUUUCGGUGUAGGAUGAGCUCGCGGCCUAUCAGCUUGUUGGUGGGGUAAUGGCCUACCAAGGCGGCGACGGGUAGCCGGCCUGAGAGGGUGGACGGCCACAUUGGGACUGAGAUACGGCCCAG